AGUCGACGAUUAGACUUCCUUCGGGAAGUGUAUAAAGUGGCGCACGGGUGAGUAACACGUAAGUAAUCUACCCUCGAGUGGGGAAUAACAUCGGGAAACCGAUGCUAAUACCGCAUAACGCAGCGGCACCGCAAGGUGACAGUUGUUAAAGGAGCAAUCCGCUUGAGGAGGAGCUUGCGGCAGAUUAGCUAGUUGGUGAGGUAAUGGCUCACCAAGGCGACGAUCUGUAUCCGGCCUGAGAGGGCGGUCGGACACACUGACACUGAAUAACGGGUCAGACUCCUACGGGAGGCAGCAGUCGGGAAUUUUGGGCAAUGGGCGAAAGCCUGACCCAGCAACGCCGCGUGAGGGAUGAAGUAUUUCGGUAUGUAAACCUCGAAAGAAUGGGAAGAAUAAAUGACGGUACCAUUUAUAAGCUCCGGCUAACUACGUGCCAGCAGCCGCGGUAAUACGUAGGGAGCAAGCGUUGUUCGGAUUUACUGGGCGUAAAGGGCGCGUAGGCGGCGCGGUAAGUCACUUGUGAAAUCUCUGAGCUUAACUCAGAACGGCCAAGUGAUACUGCUGUGCUAGAGUGCGGAAGAGGCAACCGGAAUUCUUGGUGUAGCGGUGAAAUGCGUAGAUAUCAAGAGGAACACCUGAGGCGAAGGCGGGUUGCUGGGCCGACACUGAC
rnacentral:rRNA from 1 species